rnacentral:rRNA from 1 species
UACCAGCACCCCGAGUGGUCGGGACGAUUAUUGGGCCUAAAGCGUCCGUAGCCGGUCCUGCAAGUCUUCCGUUAAAUCCAGCUGCUCAACAGAUGGGCUGCGGGGGAUACUACAGUGCUAGGAGGCGGGAGAGGCAAGCGGUACUUUAUGGGUAGGGGUAAAAUCCGUUGAUCCAUAGAAGACCACCAGUGGCGAAGGCGGCUUGCCAGAACGCGCUCGACGGUGAGGGAUGAAAGCUGGGGGAGCAAACCGG